UUCCCCAACCAGGGAUUGAACCCAUGCCCCCUGCAAUAGAAGCAUGGAGUCAUAAACACUGGACCACCAUGGA